rnacentral:rRNA from 1 species
UGGGGAAUUUUGGACAAUGGGCGCAAGCCUGAUCCAGCAAUGCCGCGUGAGUGAAGAAGGCCCUCGGGUUGUAAAGCUCUUUUGUCAGGGAAGAAAAGGUGAUCUCUAAUACAGGUCACUCAUGACGGUACCUGAAGAAUAAGCACCGGCUAACUACGUGCCAGCAGCCGCGGUAAUACGUAGGGUGCAAGCGUUAAUCGGAAUUACUGGGCGUAAAGCGUGCGCAGGCGGUUAUAUAAGUCAGAUGUGAAAUCCCCGGGCUCAACCUGGGAACUGCAGUUGAGACUGUAUGGCUAGAGUGUGUCAGAGUGGGGUAGAAUUCCACGUGUAGCAGUGAAAUGCGUAGAUAUGUGGAGGAAUACCGAUGGCGAAGGCAGCCCCCUGGGAUAACACUGACGCUGAUGCACGAAAGCGUGGGGAGCAAACA